GACGAACGCUGGCGGCGUGCCUAAUACAUGCAAGUUGAGCGAUGAAGAUUGGUGCUUGCACCAAUUUGAAGAGCAGCGAACGGGUGAGUAACGCGUGGGGAAUCUGCCUUUGAGCGGGGGACAACAUUUGGAAACGAAUGCUAAUACCGCAUAACAACUUUAAACAUAAGUUUUAAGUUUGAAAGAUGCAAUUGCAUCACUCAAAGAUGAUCCCGCGUUGUAUUAGCUAGUUGGUGAGGUAAAGGCUCACCAAGGCGAUGAUACAUAGCCGACCUGAGAGGGUGAUCGGCCACAUUGGGACGGGGACACGGCCCAAACUCCUACGGGAGGCAGCAGUAGGGAAUCUUCGGCAAUGGACGAAAGUCUGACCGAGCAACGCCGCGUGAGUGAAGAAGGGUUUCGGAUCGUAAAACUCUGUUGGUAGAGAAGAACGUUGGUGAGAGUGGAAAGCUCAUCAAGUGACGGUAACUACCCAGAAAGGGACGGCUAACUACGUG
rnacentral:rRNA from 1 species